UUGCUUUUCGUUUAUCAUUUGAUCAGACUUCAAAAUUCCACUUGGGUUUGCAAUGCCGGCCGCGGGGUAUACCCCUCACGAGUAGGGGUACGACCCGGGACCGAAGCGAUGUGAGUUGCUUGCGCGUCUCAUGACAAAGGGUGGGUGGCGGGUACGAGACCCAAACCCAGUAAUGAUCCUUCCGCAGGUUCACCUACGGAAA
rnacentral:misc_RNA from 1 species